rnacentral:rRNA from 1 species
CCUACGGGCGGCAGCAGUGAGGAAUAUUGGUCAAUGGACGAGAGUCUGAACCAGCCAAGUAGCGUGAAGGAUGACUGCCCUAUGGGUUGUAAACUUCUUUUAUAUGGGAAUAAAAUGUUCCACGUGUGGGAUUUUGUAUGUACCAUAUGAAUAAGGAUCGGCUAACUCCGUGCCAGCAGCCGCGGUAAUACGGAGGAUCCGAGCGUUAUCCGGAUUUAUUGGGUUUAAAGGGAGCGUAGGUGGAUUGUUAAGUCAGUUGUGAAAGUUUGCGGCUCAACCGUAAAAUUGCAGUUGAAACUGGCAGUCUUGAGUACAGUAGAGGUAGGCGGAAUGCGUGGUGUAGCGGUGAAAUGCUUAGAUAUCACGAAGAACUCCGAUUGCGAAGGCAGUUCACUGGACUGCAACUGACACUGAGGCUCGAAAGUGUGGGUAUCAAACAGGAUUAGAUACCCUAGUAGUC